rnacentral:lncRNA from 1 species
GUUAGGGCGUCCGUGUCCCACAGGGCAGUGCCUGGGUUGGAUGCACAGCCCCAGAUCCAGAGCCUGCCUUCCUGCUAAUGUGGAUUCUGGGAGGCAGUGGUCAAGGACCAAGUAGCUGGGUUCCUGCCACCCACGUGGGAGACCUGGAUUGAGUAUCCAGGCUCCUGGCUCUGGCCCAGCACUGGCUGUUGUGGGCAUGUGCAGAGUGCAAGUUGAAGCAGUAGCCCUUGUGAGUUGAGAGCAAAAGAUGUUGUCUUCACUGACCGCCUCAAUAUUCCUCCUGUGUCGUCAGAGAAGCGUGUAACCCAAUUUUUCUUUUGGUUCCUGCCCUUUGGAAGUGGAAUUGGAGUUGUUUUCUGCAAGUGGAGUUGCUAGAAACAGCGAGAGGUUGCUCCGUUCUGAGGGCGGCAACCCUGUGUGACAUUCCUGUCUCACCCUCUACACAGAACUUCACACAGAAGGGACGAAGUGAGCACCCGACAGCGUGACGUCAGAACCUUGGCAGACGUGAGGGAGAGCCACGCCCGCCCCAGGGGAGCAGGAGAAGGCUCUGUAGCUUAUCGACAAAAGCGUCAGUGUUGAUCAAGGGCACGGCUUCCGAUAACACUUUCACUUGCGCUCCGCACGGCAGGACUGACAGUGCCACUCCCGUGAACCGAAGUCUAAAACGGGCUUCACCUCGGAGAAAGUGCUGGGACUGCCUCAGGAGUGUUAUUGCUGUUGUUGGUUUUGAUGCUCCGGUUUGCGGAGACCAGGAGGCUGUGAAAACACCGAUCCUGACUUUUUUUCGCAUGCUCUGCUCAAACUCCUCUUCCUCGCUCUUGUGAACGGAGUACAACAGGAAACGGCUUCCUGUUAGAUAGCGAUCUUGGGAAAGCUACUGAAGAAGAAACGCUCUGAGCGCACUUUGGGGACACAGAGUGCAUUUACACAAAUUAACCAACACUCGAGCUCCUUAUCUGUGAGGUUUUGCCAAAAUAAAUUCAGCGCUUGCCUUGGCCA